GCUGAGAAGCCAGUUGUCGUCCCUGGGCUCUGGAACUGAACGGCAGACGCGGUCAGUUGGCAGGUUCUCCUGUGGGUCCCCAGGGAUGCUGAUGGGUGAAGAGCUGCCGUUGCUGCCAGCCGUGACACUCUGCGAACAUUCCCCUCUCUCCCUGUGGUGCUUGCGCCGUGGCGCGCCCCAGGCAAAUCGUGGAAGCAGGUAUUUAUGUAGCAUUAGGCGAGACCUCGUCGCUGGAGGGACUAGACGUUGAGGACGCCGAGCUGCCGAGCUGCCGCUGCCCUCGAAACUUCCAGGCAUCAGCUCGGGGACAUUCAUGCUCCACUGCUGCAGGCUCAAGACCCUUAUCAACUGAGCAACGCUGGGAUUCGGACUCCUCUUGCAGUGACAGAUCUGUCCUGAUUACAG
rnacentral:lncRNA from 1 species